UGAAUUUAGGAAUACUUACGAAGAAAUGAAUGUCAUCGAUGUUGAAAUUCCAUCCAGAAUCUUAACGACUUCCUUCAUAGGCGGCCUAGCGUGACAAUUUUCGUUAGCACACAUCAUAGCGAUCCUAAAAUACUCAACCAUUGCACUUUCUUUCAACUCAUCCUUCGAAAGAUUGUCAUCCACCAUUUCCAUGAACCUUUCUUGUUCUACCAUACCACUAAUCCAAUUGACAAGCCUAAUUUCGCAACCAUCUUCUCCUUUAAACGGGAAAUUAGGGCGUCUCCCGGUAACAAUCUCUAGCAUUAACACGCCAAAACUAUAAACAUCUCCGUUUGUUUUAGCCAUGGGUGCACCAUUUAUAUACUCUGGUGGCAUGUACCCCAUGGUUCCAGCUACUUGUGUUGAUACAUGUAAAUGUGAUCCUUGAAUUCUUCUAGCUAAUCCGAAAUCAGCAAUAUAAGCAUUGAAAUUUGCAUCUAAUAAGAUGUUACUGGCUUUGAUAUCUCUGUGAAUAAUUGGAGUAUCCAAAUUAUGCAUAUAGGCAAGUCCUUCAGCUACUCCUUUGACAAUUUUUAUCCUUGUUUCCCAAUGAAGUGGCAUCCAUUCCAACAUAUCGGAAGUCGAUGACGUGUCGUAAAGCCAUUGGUCGAGGCUGCCUUUUUCGAUGAACUCGUAAAUUAGUACCCGGUCACUACCCGUGGAGCAGUACCCGAGCAUUUUGACUAUAUUUUUGUGCUUGAUGUUACCUAGGGUUUCCAUCUCCGCGCGAUAUUCUCGGAACCCUUGAAAAGCGUCGGCGGAGAGUUUCUUCACGGCGACGGUCUUGCCGCAGGUGAGCGUUGCCUUGUAUACCAUCCCGAAACUCCCGUCGCCGAUUAUGAGUUCCGGUGAGAAAUUCCGGGUCGCGUCGGCGAGCUGCUUCAUGGAGAGUUGAUCUAGAUUCGGGUCAAAUGUUGCACUUUCAGUUACGGUGAUGGAUGAAAGAUCUGUGUUGCUACUAGCUAUAGCCCGAAUGUUCCGGUUCCGGCUACGGGGAUGAUUCCGGGUUUCCUCUUCGAUAGGACGACGUUUGAUAGGGUUUCUGCAGAAAAUAUAGAGAGAAGCAAAGAUCAAGAGGACUGCAACGAAACUGGAAGCCGCAGCUAUAAA
rnacentral:misc_RNA from 1 species